CACGUAGGGCGCAAGCGUUGUCCGGAAUUAUUGGGCGUAAAGAGCUCGUAGGCGGUCUGUUGCGUCCGCUGUGAAAACUCGGGGCUUAACCCCGAGCCUGCAGUGGAUACGGGCAGACUAGAGGUAGGUAGGGGAGAUCGGAAUUCCUGGUGUAGCGGUGAAAUGCGCAGAUAUCAGGAGGAACACCGGUGGCGAAGGCGGAUCUCUGGGCCUUACCUGACGCUCAGGUGCGAAAGCUAGGGGAGCGAACAGG
rnacentral:rRNA from 1 species